rnacentral:rRNA from 1 species
UACGUAGGGUGCAAGCGUUGUCCGGAAUUAUUGGGCGUAAAGAGCUCGUAGGCGGUUUGUCGCGUCUGCUGUGAAAACCCGAGGCUCAACCUCGGGCCUGCAGUGGGUACGGGCAGACUAGAGUGCGGUAGGGGAGAUUGGAAUUGCCUAGGUGUAGCGGUGGAAUGCGCAGAUAUCGGGAGGAACACCGGUGGCGAAGGCGGUUCUCUGGGCCUUACCUGACGCUGAGGAGCGAAAGCGUGGGGAGCGAACAGG